rnacentral:rRNA from 1 species
UACGUAGGGGGCGAGCGUUAUCCGGAUUUAUUGGGCGUAAAGCGUGUGUAGGCGGUUUAUUAAGUCUAAGAUGAAAGACCGAGGCUUAACUUCGGUUUGUUUUAGAAACUGGUAGACUCGAGUGUGGUAGAGGCAAGUGGAAUUUCUAGUGUAGCGGUUAAAUGCGUAGAUAUUAGAAAGAACACCAGUGGCGAAAGCGGCUUGCUGGGCCAUUACUGACGCUGAGACACGAAAGCGUGGGGAGCAAAUA